UUUACAUCUAAAACGGAUGAAAGUCGCCAUGAUCUGAGUGUUCAUUUUGAAGAACACAAAGAAGAGAGACGCAACAAGCGCAAGCGCAAUGACAAUUGCCUGUAGUGCUCAAUACAAACACGCUGUUCGUUGUCUAUCGAUGGAGAAAGGUGGUGGUUCAAGAAAGAAUUUAUUUUAUCUCUGAAAAUUCAGCACUUGGAUAAUUUUAACAUACAUCAAAUUCAAGAAACGUAAAUUACAUGGCUAGACUAUAUUAUAACGUUAAAUAAAAUAGGCAUAGGUUAGGCUUUAUAUAUAACACUAAUAAGACCUCUAUCCUAGGCAUAGCACUAGGCUCGCUAGGCGAUACAGGCCUUAGGCCUAGUUAGGAAGCUAGACCGAACGAACUUUACGGCCCCAGCUAAGAGGCUAACUAAACUAAGAAUAGGCUAAACAUCAAUUGAAUUGACUGAGGAUUACAAAAACAAUGCCCACGUUCGACGUUAAUAGCACAGUAGGGCCUAUAGUUUCUAAGUUCUUUGAAACGAAACAACCAACAAUACAACUUCCAGUACCAUGACAUGGAUGAAUGCACUGCUAGUGUAUCGCGAGUGCUGUGGUAGCCGAAUGAUCAUGCAUAUUCAAUAAUUAUUUCAUUAGCUCGUGAACGGUGAUUAUUAGGCCACGUCCAUUUGCCGCGUUAGGUCAAAUAAUAAAAUUUUAACAUUAACAAUUAAUGUAAUUAUUUUAAAAACAAGAAUUAUAUAAAUGUAUUUCAUAUUAAUAUAUAU
rnacentral:misc_RNA from 1 species